rnacentral:lncRNA from 1 species
AUCUCGGUCCUCAUCCGGGUCGUACUCGAUGUCAUACUCGGGGUUCUCCUCCACGUACUCCUCUUCAGGUUCCUCAACAAGGAUCUCCUUGUCAGAUUCAUGCUCUUUAAGCUCCUCAUCCAGGUCCUGAAAUGGUUAUUCAAUAACCACUGAGACAACGUCUCAGCAAGUUCUACCUCCUAAGACCCGAUUAGUAAACUAAUACACCUUAGGGCUGCCUACGCACAACAUGAGUCAGAGGACUUACCUUAGCCUCAGAUUCCAC